UACGUAGGCAGCAAGCGUUGUUCGGAAUUACUGGGCGUAAAGAGUGCGUAGGCGGUGCUCUAAGUCUGUUGUGAAAUCUCCCGGCUCAACUGGGAGGGUGCGGCGGAAACUGGAGUGCUCGAGUGUGGGAGAGGUAAGCGGAAUUCCUGGUGUAGCGGUGAAAUGCGUAGAUAUCAGGAGGAACACCUGUGGUGUAGACAGCUUACUGGACCACGACUGACGCUGAGGCACGAAAGCGUGGGUAGCAAACAGG
rnacentral:rRNA from 1 species